GCGUUAAUCGGAAUUACUGGGCGUAAAGGGUGCGUAGGUGGUUAAAUAAGUUAGAUGUAAAAACCCUGGGCUUAACCUAGGACUGAGAUUUAAUACUGUUUAACUAGAGUAUGGGAGAGGGUAGUGGAAUUUCCGGUGUAGCGGUGAAGUGCGUAGAGAUCGGAAGGAACACCAGUGGCGAAGGCGGCUACCUGGCCUAAUACUGACACUGAGGCACGAAAGCGUG
rnacentral:rRNA from 1 species